rnacentral:misc_RNA from 1 species
GUGAAUCAUCAAAUUUUUGAACGCAUAUUGCACUCUCUGGUAUUCCGGAGAGUAUGCCUGUUUGAGGGUCAGUUAAAUUAAAAUCGAGGGUGUUGCUUCCUUUUCGUGGUGAAGCUUCGGAAUUGGGUCGUCUUUACCUUUCUUUUAAGAGACAUAAAAUUUUUUAAUGAUAUCUGAACGUAUUUAAAGUUAUUUGGUACGUUUUGGAAUAUCAAAUGUUUAUUAGGUGUGUUCAUCCUUAUGAUUCUCUUCU